rnacentral:lncRNA from 1 species
UUCACGUCCAAGAAGUUGGGCAUCCAUCUGGUGCUUGUCCAAGGCGUGGUGGCUCCCUGAUCAGAAGGCUACAGGGAUUUAUCGAGAAGCUGCUGCUCCAGCUUCAGAAGAUCUUUUGAAGAUUUUCCAUAUCUGAUUUUUGGAGUAGAGAUUCAUGAGGAGAAGAUGAUUCAGAUCCUACUCAAGUAGAUACCGGUAGAGCCCAGGUGACUGCAUGG